rnacentral:rRNA from 1 species
CAGCGACUUAUAUUCUGUAGCAAGGUUAACCGAAUAGGGGAGCCGAAGGGAAACCGAGUCUUAACUGGGCGUUAAGUUGCAGGGUAUAGACCCGAAACCCGGUGAUCUAGCCAUGGGCAGGUUGAAGGUUGGGUAACACUAACUGGAGGACCGAACCGACUAAUGUUGAAAAAUUAGCGGAUGACUUGUGGCUGGGGGUGAAAGGCCAAUCAAACCGGGAGAUAGCUGGUUCUCCCCGAAAGCUAUUUAGGUAGCGCCUCGUGAAUUCAUCUCCGGGGGUAGAGCACUGUUUCGGCAAGGGGG